AACGAACGCUGGCGGCAUGCCUAACACAUGCAAGUCGAACGAAGGCUUCGGCCUUAGUGGCGCACGGGUGCGUAACGCGUGGGAAUCUGCCCUUAGGUACGGAAUAACUCAGGGAAACUUGAGCUAAUACCGUAUAAUGACUCCGGUCCAAAGAUUUAUCGCCUAAGGAUGAGCCCGCGUAGGAUUAGCUAGUUGGUGAGGUAAAGGCUCACCAAGGCGACGAUCCUUAGCUGGUCUGAGAGGAUGAUCAGCCACACUGGGACUGAGACACGGCCCAGACUCCUACGGGAGGCAGCAGUGGGGAAUAUUGGACAAUGGGCGAAAGCCUGAUCCAGCAAUGCCGCGUGAGUGAUGAAGGCCUUAGGGUUGUAAAGCUCUUUUACCCGGGAUGAUAAUGACAGUACCGGGAGAAUAAGCCCCGGCUAACUCCGUGCCAGCCGCCGCGGUAACAC
rnacentral:rRNA from 1 species